UGUGUCUGUAGACAGAAUUUGUUAAUGCAAGGCUUUUAUUGUGAAAUUGCUGCCCUAUAAAAAUAGAGUACACAGAGUAAAUUAGAGUACCACCUUUUAAUUCUCAUUUACAAUAAAUCCAUACAACAUGUCACAGACAUGAACAGUUGUUCCUUCAUUUUAUAGUCAACACUUUCUGUUUGUUGAAAAAAAUAAUUUAAACUUACAUUUUUCUGCUGAAAGAAUUUGUUAAUUCAGGGCUUUUAAUGUGAAAUAUUUGCAGGACAGCAUUGUGACUGCACACAUUUAGAGUAGAUUUUGUAUUAUUCUUUCCAAUAAAUCCAUACUACAUAUCACAUCCAUGAACGGUUAUUCAUAAAUUUUUGUCAUUUAGCUGACACUUUUAUCCAAAGCGACUUCCAACCACAUUACAUUCACACACCUACAGGGAGCAGCUCUGUGUUUAGUGUCUUGCUCAAGCACACAUCGACUAAGGCAGGGAUUGAUACCACCCUUUCAUUAUUAUUUCAAGAUAUGCAAAAAGACUUCUUAAAUGUGUUUUUUCUCCAAAUAAUAAAAAAAAACGACGUUGAUAACCAAAUGGAAUCGGGGGGCUGGCAGCUGCCACCCAGCAGGUGUGAGAUAUGAAAUGUCCUCCUGUUGAAAUAUCACCCUGAACGCCUCCUCCUGGAACGCCGGGUGUGACGUGAAGACAUCGGCGGCGUCAGACUGACGUGAGCGGCGAGCGGCGAGCGGCGAGCCCCGCUGGGCCCCACCGGGCCUCGCCGGGCCCUCGACUCGGCCCGGGCGCCUCGUCUGGGGGCCUCCGCUGCAUCUGCCAGACGGCCGUGUGCAUUCCAGAGCGGCGGCCGCAGCCAGACGCCUCCAGCAACUGCAGCUCCAUUACCGGCUGUUUGGAGCCGACCACCAAACACCUCGUCAUCGUCGUCUUCGUCGUCUUCGCGGCCUUAACGGUAGGAGGAACACCGCGCAGAGGUCCGGUCAUCCGUCAGCGGUGAUGGAGCCGGUGCAGCGGGGUGAAGGCGGAGCUUACAGACCGGCUUCAUGUGUGACGACGAAAGGCAAAUUGGCUGAAUAAAGCAGAAACAGUUUCAUUAAUGCAUCUCAACAGAGGGGAAAAGCUGCUCAAUGAAUAGCCAACAAACAAACAAAUAAACUCAUAGACUAAAACCGGCCAAAAUUGGACGCAGCUAAUUUUAUUUUUUGGGCGACUGAGCUUAACGACGAAGCGGGGACAGAUUUUAUGGAGGUUUCCACCGGCGGCAUCAAUCAGGGAGGAGAGAGCCGCACGGCAGCGCCUUGUGGGAGGAACACGUCGCUCCUGCUGCUCGCCAGGGCCCUGCCCCCUCAGAGGCUCCGCCCCCUGAGAGGCUCCGCCUCCUCCGGCACGCUGGGGACCGACGCUCUGCACCACUCGCAGAAAAACAACAUUUUAUAAAACUAUUUCAGUACCGGAGGAAGGACGUCUGACUGUUUGGCUUAUUUAUUAAUGUUUUUAUUCUUAUUUAAAUUGACUAUCCUGCUCCGGGCUCCGCCUCCUGGCCGUGGAUCAGAUGAGAUUGGUGUAUUAAACGCUAUUUUUAGACACAAGAUACAUUUCUUGUCUAAAAAAAGGAAGAUUUCCUCUGAGGCCAAUUUGAAAUUUGUGAAUUUGGGCUAUGCUAAAUGAACUGAAUUUGAUUUAAUUGAAUAACUUCGCUGGCUUCCUGUUAAAGUUAUACAGUAUGUCAUUCAAACGGGAAUCUUCACAUAGAUCAUUUAUUGGAUGGAGAACUUUUCAUUUAAUUAGAUUUUUUUUUAGACAGAAACAUUAAACAGAGACGAACUGAUGAAGGGUCUGGUGUUUGUAGCGUAGAUCGUUUCCAACACCUGAAGAGAUUCCUGUCAUAUUCAUUGAAUGUGUUCCUGUGAGGAGCCUGAGAAGAUGAAAGGAGGAGCCUGAAAAGAAGAGAGGAGGAGCCUGAGAAGAUGAAAGGAGGAGCCUGAGAAGAAGAGAGGAGCAGCCUGAGAAGAAGAGAGGAGGAGCCUGA